GGAAGUGAAACCGUCACACUCACAAGUGAGACGUUUACUGGUAGAAGCUUCAUGGUGUUGCAUCAGGUUGUGUCAUUUCAGAAACACGUUGGUUCUUCCAUCUCAGGAGUUUCCUUCUUCUGUUCAACACUUUGGCUGCAUUUAGAGAGCUGUGAAGCUCUUGUCAGUUGUCAGGGUUCUAAACCUCCAGAAAUAAAACUAACAGCCAUAAGAUACGGUGAGAAAAGACAGAACAGUUUCAUCAGAUCCUAACAGAUUCCAGAUUUAAGGACUCCAACCAGGAAAAAAACUUUAUUUAUUCACCCUUGAGAACAGAAGAGGCCCUGAGAAAGUUCUUAUAAUGAUAUACUCAUUCAUAUCUACUACCAAAAUCAGACUUCUAAGGCCUCCAGUAUUAGUUAAGUUUGCCAUGUUUUGAACUUAUUUUACUAUUUUGACCUCAAAAUGUUUAAAAUUGUGUCUAAAAUCAGAUAAAGACUGUCUAAAAUUACUUUAACUGUGUCUAACAUGAUUCCAUGUUGUCCAAAAUGACAAUAAUCAACAAUUAUUAGUCCAAAAUGGAAAGAAAGCACCAAAUCUCCAAUCCAGGCUGGUCUAGGGUCUCUAUAAAGUUCCUGUCAGUGUUUAUCUAUGGAUGAAUCCAUGUUUCUACUAAAGUCUUUGGUCCACAUUUCUCCAACUUUUGAGGCUCUAACAUCAGUAGAAUCUGAUGGUUAAAGUUUGACCAGACCAGGUUCCAGUUUUUGGAUGUUUAGACUAAAUGUUGAUGUGGACUCAUUGGUAGGAACCAGAACCUGGAGUUCAUAGAGCUGUAGGUGUUCAUGGAGGUCUAGAUGUUCACAGAGGUCUAAGUGUCCAUAGAGGUCUAGGUGUCCAUAGAGGUCUAGGUGUCCAUAGAGGUCUAGGUGUCCAUAGAGGUCUAGGUGUCCAUAGAGGUCUAGGUGUCCAUAGAGGUCUAGGUGUCCAUAGAGGUCUAGGUGUCCAUAGAGGUCUAGGUGUUCAUAGAUGUCUAGGUGUCCAUAGAGGUCUAGGUGUCCAUAGAGGUCUAGGUGUUCAUAGAUGUCUAGGUGUCCAUAGAGGUCUAGGUGUCCAUAGAGGUCUAGGUGUCCAUAGAGGUCUAGGUGUCCAUAGAGGUCUAGGUGUUCAUAGAGGUCUAGGUGUCCAUAGAGGUCUAGGUGUUCAUAGAGGUCUAGGUGUUCAUAGAGGUCUAGGUGUCCAUAGAGGUCUAGGUGUCCAUAGAGGUCUAGGUGUCCAUAGAGGUCUAGGUGUUCAUAGAGGUCUAGAUUAGGGCUGCAACAACGAAUCGAUAAAAUUGAAAA